AUUGAACGCUGGCGGCAUGCCUUACACAUGCAAGUCGAACGGCAGCGCGGGGCAACCUGGCGGCGAGUGGCGAACGGGUGAGUAACAUAUCGGAACAUACCCUAGAGUGGGGGAUAACGUAGCGAAAGUUACGCUAAUACCGCAUACGCACUAAGGUGGAAAGUGGGGGAUCUUCGGACCUCAUGCUCAUGGAGUGGCCGAUAUCUGAUUAGCUAGUUGGUGAGGUAAAGGCUCACCAAGGCGACGAUCAGUAGCUGGUUUGAGAGAACGACCAGCCACACUGGAACUGAGACACGGUCCAGACUCCUACGGGAGGCAGCAGUGGGGAAUUUUGGACAAUGGGGGCGAACCCUGAUCCAGCAAU
rnacentral:rRNA from 1 species